rnacentral:snRNA from 8 species
GCUCUGCUGACCCCUGUGAAUUUCCCAAAUGUGGAAAUCUCGAUUGCAUAAUUUCUGGUAGUGGGGGACUGCGUUCGCGCUCUCCCCUG